UUGGAGGGCAAGUCUGGUGCCAGCAGCCGCGGUAAUUCCAGCUCCAAUAGCGUAUAUUAAAGUUGUUGCAGUUAAAAAGCUCGUAGUUGAAUUUCGGGAUUAGUACGCUGGUCGUGCCUUCGGUACGUACUGGUGUUACUGAUUCCUACCUUCUGACGAACCGUCAUGUCAUUUAUUUGGUGUGGUGGGGAAUCAGGACUGUUACUUUGAAAAAAUUAGAGUGUUUAAAGCAGGCUCGCGCUUGAAUACAUUAGCAUGGAAUAAUGAAAUAGGACGUUGAUCCUAUUUUGUUGGUUUCUAGGAUUGACGUAAUGAUUAAUAGGGAUAGUUGGGGGCAUUAGUAUUCAAUUGUCAGAGGUGAAAUUCUUGGAUUUAUUGAAGACUAACUACUGCGAAAGCAUUUGCCAAGGAUGUUUUCAUUAAUCAAGAACGAAAGUUAGGGGAUCGAAGACGAUCAGAUACCGUCGUAGUCUUAACCAUAAACUAUGCCGACUAGGGAUCGGAUGAUGUUAUUUUUAAUGACUCAUUCGGCGCCUUACGGGAAAC
rnacentral:rRNA from 1 species